GAGUGGCCCCAUAAGAAAAACCAAAACUCCCUUUCAAUAGCAUGGAGGACUUUAAUAGGAAAAGAAAUACAUAAUAAAUAAUAUAGAUAAAUUGACGAGAGUAGUGACUGAAGACGGGGUGCUCUCCUUGCAAAAGAGAGUGCUUUCCACUUGCAAUUAGAUAGCUUGGUCAAUAUCAGUUUGAAAGAAAAUUGAAAUGAGUAGCUUUUAGUUUAGAAUCAGCCAUAGGAACC
rnacentral:lncRNA from 1 species